UACGUAGGUGGCAAGCGUUGUCCGGAUUUACUGGGCGUAAAGAGCGCGCAGGCGGUCGAUUUAGUCGCGUGUGAAAGCCCCCGGCUCAACUGGGGAGGGUCACGCGAUACUGAUCGACUCGAAGGCAGGAGAGGGUAGUGGAAUUCCCGGUGUAGUGGUGAAAUGCGUAGAUAUCGAGAGGAACACCUGCGGCGAAGGCGGGUUGCUGGGCUGACACUGACGCUGAUGUGCGAAAGCUAGGGGAGCGAACGGG
rnacentral:rRNA from 1 species